UCAUCGAUCGGCUUAUAAACGACUAGGUAGUUGGGUCGGCGGCACCCCGCAGCGCCCCAAGCCCGAUCGUUCGCUCUGCGCAACCGCAAACAGCCACAAUAGCGCGGUGCAUCGCUAUCGUUUUUUAACGCAGCAGUAAGAAGGUUUGGACACUGGUGAAAACGCCGAUCCAGGCGAGCGCGACGAUUU
rnacentral:rRNA from 1 species